GCCCCGGCCCCGGCCCCAUUCCCAGCCCCAGCCCCAUGUGCUCGGGGCACGGCGGUGCCUCAGUGGGUUAAGUUCAGAGUGGCCUUUGUAAGGGUUUUCUUCUUUUUUUUUUUUUCCCUCCCAAAACGCUUUGUAGCGAAAAGGUUAGGCAGGAUCUGCGGCAUGCGUUUGCAAAACUUGGUGCAACUUUGGUUUUAGUAAAUAAUAAAGUUUAGGAAACUUGGGGUUAAAAAAAUAGUUCUGCUAACAAAUCGUGUACUCUCUGGUGGAAAAAAAAAAAAUUGUUUCAAGCAAGGUGAUGUGCUGUCCUGUACUCUAUAAUUCUUCUGAAGGGUGAUUAAGGCGCAGACGUAAUGAAGGUGCGUGUUAGUGCUGCUGUGAUUUUUCCUUAAAGAAAAGUUUGUGAUUGGUGAAAAAUGUCCUGAUAUUUCUUGCCCAGCGGGAUUUAUUUGUGCUUGAGAGAGAGCGGGACCUGGUUUUGUUGAUGUGGAUGUUCACAGUGCAGUUGUGUUGCUGGAGUUUGUUUCAAAUUUCAUAAUGUAGCCUGGGAUUACAGUGUUUUGUAUCCUUUAAUUUUUCUUUCAAAGUAGAGGAAACUCAGUUUUGCACAUCAACUGCUCUAAUUAAUGAUGUGGAGAACGUGGCAUAUAUCAAAAAGAGUUAGAGUCCAAAGCAGAAGCUCUUUGACUCUCUCCUUUCCCCUCCCUUUAGUACUAGAUAGCAGCACAUGUAGUCAGUUUGAUAAGGCUGAGUUUUUCAGUGCAGCUUUUUUCUUGAUUUAGAAGAAUAAAGGCAAUUUUUGUGUCCGUACUUAAUUAAGUUGCUGUACCUUGGAAUGAAAAAGUAAAGAGUUCAGCUGAUGAUCUAGUUUAUGGUGAAGCACUGCAAAGCUGUAAUUAAAAGUAGGCUGUACAUUCAUCUUUAGUUGUAACUUGCUGUGUGUACUCUUUUAAAUCAAACCCUAGGUAAAGAUAGAUAGUUAGGUCUUGUGAGGAUUGCUGCUUCAAUUUAUAUAUAAUUCAAUUUAUAUAUAAUUCAAUAAAGAUAUCUUACAGUUAAUGUUUCGUUCGUGUCAUUGAGCACAGCAUCUUUGUUUGUUUGUUUGUUUCGUUAUCUUUUUUCCUAAUUCAAACAAUUUAUUUAAGUGCUUUCUGGGAUUCGUAUGAAUUCAUAUUCUAGAGUCAUACAGUGCUGUACUGCUGAAUUGAGGUAACAAUAUUUUGGGCUCUUCUAGAUGGAGAACCUGAAUAUAAGUUUAGGGAUGUAAUUUUCCUUUCCAUUUUAGGAUGGUAGUAUUGAAGAUCAGUAGAAAAAUUAAAAGUGUUCUGAUAAAGUUGUGGAUUCUGAGCUCGAGAGUAACUAACGUGGUCAUUAUGUUUGUGUCGUAGUGCCGAGUUCUAGGCAGAACACAGAGGUUUGCUGUAUGGCUGUGAUUUGAUAACAGGCAUUUUAUGUCCCAUGGGAGAAAGUCUUCUAGGAAACUGUGCUCUUCUAAACAGUUAAACUGCAUCGUCGGAUUUUUGCCGGCUAAUGGAUUCACGAAGCAGCGUGCAGAACUACUUCACCGCUCGGUUUGCAUGUUGCAAUGAAUGAGUCGUGGAACAUGACCAUACCGUGUAUUUUCAAAGGGGGGAUUAAUUUUGGAUGGCCGGCUGGUCAGCAAGCGUACGAGUAGAUGGUAACACAGUUCAGAUAAUACUGGUCAUUCAUUCAUACCUCCGUAUUCCCUGUCGUUUAUUUCAUAAUCAUUUAAUGAGAUAUUAAAGUGUUGCUGUCAGUUUUCUGGGCGUGUUCUGAGUGUAUUCAAAAUUCUGAAGGCAAGCUAGAAGUAAACCUGUUGUAUCACUCCUGGUUCUGUGUGACACCACAGAGGGAGAGCUGAAUUAAUGCUGGAUGUAGUGGGAACCAUUUUCCAACAGGGACGUCUAAAUUUUGCUUUUUAAAGAAAAAUAAUUAACAACAGUUUCCCCGUUUGAGGAAGAAUAAUGCUCUGUAGGAACUGCGUGCGGAGUUGUUUUAGCCCCUUUCCUACCGUUUUGAUAGGGUGAAUUAAUACAAACAUUUCAAGCACAAAUCUUGUGAAAACAAGGUGAGCAGAAGAAAGGAUACCGUAGGGGAAUGAAUCAUUUAUGCUUGUUUUGUUCUUUCACCAUUAGUGCGGUGUCAGAUUAACUUGGUGCCAUUUUAAACGUACCAUAUUGCCCCAACGCCAGCUGAAGUAAAAACCAGUGGAGUUUGUGUUCAGAAGGAGCUGAUCCGCUCAUCCUCACCCAAGCCUACGUCUGGCCCGACAACCAGAAGAACUGGAAGUCGGAGCAUGGCACGCAGCCCGGCUCCCUGAAGUACCGUGCUGCAGACCACGGCUUUUACGGCUCCUUGCAGCGGUGCUCCCUCGCGGCCGGAGGCUUUGCUGCUCCCUAAAGCCAGCGCCGACUCUGGAAGGGUAAAAGAAAAUCUGUAGGCACGUGCCUUGUGCUGUCUUGGCAGUGUGCUGCCUGAAGUUUGUGAGUAGUGACUUUGAUUAGGAAAUUGAUCCGUCUCAAAAAUAAACCUUAAAAAAAAAAAAAAAAAGGUUGUUAGGCAGCUGGAGGGGUUUCUUGUGCUAGCUUGCUUGUAUCCGUGCAGAUGUGUCUAAUACUGUGGUGCCCUUACAGGCAGAAUGGUUUGAAGAGAGGGCAGCAUAGGUUCCUUCUGUCAGGAUCCUGAAAUGAAUGGAAAGCUCUGGGUUUGGGGAGCACUCCCAGCACAAAAAGUGGCCUUGGGCCAGUGCUGCCAGUGGAUGGAUUGGGAGAGAGGUGCAUUCAUCAUCCCGUUGCCGCUGCUGCUGUUGUACUCAGCUGCUUUUCCAUGUUUUAAGGGAGUAAAGGGGCUGGAUUCGUGUCUGCCUGUUUUUAGAGCCCCUCUUUCCUUGCUGAGAACUGGUUGCUUCGCCCCUUGCGCUGGCGCCGUUGCCGCUGCAGCCAGCAGCUUUCCUCGGCGUCCAGGUCUGGGGAAUUCAGGCUGCGACCGAAGCUGCGAGUUUAGGUAGCCAGAAGGUAUCAUUUGUCUCUCCAAAAUGUGAAUGGUGAAUCCCUGCAGUGCAGUGCGUGAGUGUGGGCUGGUUAGCUUAAAAAAGGAAGUCUGGGAAAACUGACAUACAACUUAAAUUUGGAGCUGUGUGGCAGCAUGCAAAUAAUAGAAUGAAAACCACACUUCUUGUGAAUCACUCCUGUUUAUUCUGUGAAUUUCAGAGUACAGCACUGAUUCAGAGACAUUUUAGAAUGGAUCCUGCCAUUUACCUAUUAAUAAAUCCAAAUUUUGUAGGCAGUUGCAUAGACACGUUGCUUUUUGCAUUUGUGUAGCUGUUAAAAUAGCUGUAAAGUUAAGUGGGGUUUUGCUUAUAGGUAAACUAAGCUGUCUGGUUUCUGUUUGGUGAUAUACGUGCAACAUGCUGUGUCGUACAAAACAGGCAAAGCCGUUGGAAUAGAACUUGCUGGCCUUGGGCCACUGGAUUAUAGUCAUUUGUCACUCGAAUGCCAUUUCAGCAAUGUAGAUGUUCAUUUCCAAAGAAUUAAACAUGCUAGAACUGCGGUUUUUCUUUUUGAUGGAAGUGUUUUAUGUGUGGUCAUUAAACAUACAGCUCAGGAUUAUGGGACAAAGGGUUAUGCUUCAUAGUGAAAAAUAGCGUGUGUGUGUGUACACAUGUGCAUAUAUAUGCACAAACACCGCAGUGAAGAAGCAAAUAUUUUAAAAUUUGGUUUCUAAACCCUAUUUUUACUUCAUGAAACUGUAAUGUAUAGGUUUAUUACUACAUAUUUGAAGUGUUAUUCCCAAUAAUGGUGCUGUGUGGAUCAGUUUGAAAACACUUCAAGGAUUUUGCUAGAUCAGAGCUCACGGUAAUAUAUUCAUUAACACCCUAAUAGAGUAAAACUUUGAAGUACAUUAGUCUUUUUCAUUUUGUAUUUGACUCGCUAAUACCUAAUUUAAUUGCAGAUGUUCUUGAUAUUUUAAAUACAUUUAAGAACUUUUCCUGUUUGUUUGACGGUGUAAGAUCUGUUAAUCUGCAGUGCACAUUGCAAGGGCUGUUUUUUCACCUACACCUAGGCAGGAGGUAGUUUAAGUCACAGUAGCCCUGACAAAGUGAUUGUGUAAGGCUAAUUUAAAGGAUAUACCCUAUGGAAAAGUAUAAAAAAAAGUUUAACACAAAAUUAAGAAAGGCAUUCUUGCAGUCCUGUGAUAGUCACAAAAGUUAGCACAGCAGAAAUGAAAAAUGUACAAAGGUGCUUUGGGGAAUUUUGCUGUUUAUAGCAUUGUAUGUGGAUUUGCAUGGUCUAUGAAAGUUUUAAAAGAAGUAUUAUAUGUUGUUUGUCUUGGAAUUAAGUUUGGAAAGAAAGGGAUGUGGAUCAGCUUCCCCUGAAUGAACUGGAAAACCCCUUCUGUAACUGCUUCAAUUUGAUAAAAGAAUUGGGGUUCAGCUUUGAGCUGGAAGAGAAAAAUGCCCUGUGUGUAAGAAGAAACAUCUUGUUUCAGGUUGUGUGAAAAGAUGCAUUUAUAAAAAACCUUAAAGUCGAUUUUCUUGAAAGAAUUGUGUGUAUGGGAGACAUUUCUCUCUUUGUUUGAAUGAAGCUGAGCAUACGAGCAGAAAUAGCCGUGCUGUAUUCCCUUAGUGCAGCAGGCAUGUUUUUUCAUACGCUCAGAGCCUGCUGGAGUGACUCACAGGCUUCCUGCCUCGUUUUUCCCCAUGAAUUUUGCAGGCUGGCGACGGAUUUACAAGUGUAAUUUAAAAUACAGGAAUCGUAUAUCCUCCAUGCAAAGAAGUCAGGGCUUUUGUCAUGAAAAUGUUUUGUCCCGUUGGGGUGGGAUUCCUUUGGAGGUGGUGUAGCAAUGUGUUCCCCAUAGCGAUCCUUACAGCAGCAAGGUAAUGCUGCUGCUUUCACGGGUGCUUUAACAGCGUGGCCAUAGGCACAUACCUGUCUCGGUGGGAACUUGUCCACAGCUCGCUCUUCAGACUGUGCCGCAAAAACACACGCGGUUGAGGUUGGUUCACCUCAACCUGAUUUAAAAUGAUGAAAGAUCACCUGAUUUAGCACCGAGGAGUCCUGAACUGCAGACCGGAUCGCCACGUAUCGGACAGCAAGAGCGAGUCCUUUGGAUGUGCCGGCUUCCAGUGUGUGAGGACAAGGCCUCGGAUGCCAUGUGUGGUAUCAAACCACGGAUUUCUCUCUCCUGGUUUUCCGGUGAAGCAGAGCUCUUGUUGCACACGCCACUCGGUUGGUCAGAUUCACAUACCUUUUAGAGAGGGACAUGAAUUCAAACCAUACUUCUAUACAAGGUGGGAGUUCAAGAAACUACAUUGACAGAAGUAAAGGGGAGAUGGGGCAAGAUUCUGAUACUCCCUUCGUUUCUUGCUGCAAGAUGUAGGUUGGAUGAGGAGGCAAAUGGAAGAGGUUCAGCUACGUUUUUUAAUGGUAGCAAUAGGCAAUUAGAUUAAUCACACCCAGCGUGUUUUGGAUCGUGCUACUUGGGAGGGGAUUUGCUUAAAAUUGAUGCUCUACCUGUGCAUGGUGUGGGGUGGUGUUCUCAGUUUAAAUGUGAAUAGAUGUGAUAAAAGGAGAGGGGAAAUAAAGCAGAGAGAGAGAAAGAGUCGCAGUCAGCACAAGUUCCAGCUGAACUGCAAGAAGAAGCCCGAUCUAUUGAGUUCCAGUCAACCUCGCUCUAUCCAUUAAAUCAUACGGCCUCUAAUAAUAGCUGGUUGUUACCAAAGAAAGAAAGAAGUGGUGCUAUAAAUGUCCAUAAAACAUGGAAAACCUCGCUGUUCCUUUGCUGCCUUCAGGAUAGAAAACCAAAGCUGCCACUGUUUGGAAAGUUCUGGGGAGCACUGUAGUUAAUUGUUGUAAAACUGGAAGAAAGUCAAAGACAACUUACUUAGGCAAGUCUCAAUAUUCAUUUACUUCUCAGCUAAAAGCUGUGAUCGUGGGCUAUUGCCCCUUCACAAGUUAAACUUCCGUGAGUUACAGAUAGUGAAAGCUCCUUAACGAAACUUGUGACAACAACGAAGUGUUUAUAGAAGCGUUUGUGCAGUUAAUGCGCUCUCAUGGCAAGCAAGGAUGAAAUACAUAAAAUUACCAUCGUGGAAUUGCAAGCGACAAAAACUGUAAGCGCAGCAGAAUCAUAAAAGUGUGAAAGAGGAGCAGUCAGCUUUCAGAGCAGGCCAAGUAAAGCUGCUGAGAGUGCUCACGCCAACAAGUUUGUGUUCUUGGGCUCUGGAGCUUUACCUCUGUCCCGGCCCAGCUCUGGGUUGCGGGGGUCACUCUUGGUGGUGCAAAAGGGGCGUUUUGGGUGCUGCCAGAGUCGAUUGCCUUAAUGGAGAGGAUAAAGGCAACGAACGCUUGUAUACGCUCAGCGCUAACCGUAGUCAUGGCAAGGCCACUACGGUUUUCUACUUUGCUGGAAUUGCAUCCUUAAAAUAGAGCUUUUCCAGCGUUUUUCAUCAGCAUUUACUCCUGGAAGGAUUAGGCCAGUUGCGCACCAUUUUUUCUUUCUUUUUGGUGCUGCCAGCGAUGGUUGGCCCUGGGAUGAGAAAUUGCCGUGCCAGGGGAUCCCUCGCUGCCCGGGUGUGACAUUUCCGUGGUAGCACGACUUGACAGUUAGUCUGAACUCUUACACUUUCUACAGCUUCAAAUCUUCGGGUUUAGCUAAGAGCUACGGUGUUUUAUAUUUUUAUAGCAGUUUGCUUUGCGUACUUUUUUUUUGAUUGGUGUUUGUGCUUCAAAUUUAUUUUACGACAGCAUUUAAAAAAAAAUGCCUGCAGUUAGUGAACAACAGCUGAUUCGAUUAUCUUUGAAGGCUGGCUUCAAGUAGAAGGCUGCCGCAUCUGGUCUGCUUACUGAGAAGCCAAAAGUUGCAAUACUUGAUAAUGGCAGAUGUCAGUAUUUGGAAACUUAGUUUGGUUUUUCUGACUGUUAUUUGCAAAACAGCCAUUUCAGACAAUAGCGUGAGUGACUGAUUGUAUUUACCAGCUGUUUUAAUGAUUUUCAGGAAUCUGUUUUCCUGGAUUUGGGACCAAAGGAGUCAUUGUACGCUUAGGUUAGAAGCACGUUCUUUCAAAAGCUUCCUAAAUUGGUGGUGUUUGAGAGCAGAAAAUGCUAUGAAUUCAGUGUGCGGGCUGAGACGCGAGGGUUUGCUCCCAGCCAUGCCAGCCUUGCAGAUCAGAUGGCACUUCGGUGGCACACACCUGGGGUCCCCCACACUGUUCCCACUCCUUUUUCAGCAAUGUGGGGACUCUGCAGGCACGUGGGGUGUGCUCUGAUCUCCCAGGGCCCUGGCUUCAGCAGUAGUUGCAUGCCACUCUGCUCCAGUCUAAGUUCUUUUCCUUGGGAAGCAAGGUACUGAAAUUGUCUUCAGUAUUGCAAAAAGCAUUGGCAGUACCUUGGGCGCUCUGUUUUGCGCUCUCCGCACUCAUUUGCGCAGAAGAAAGCUGGCAGGGGAUCUCGUAUGAGGGAAGAUGUGAAGUAGCAUCACAGUCAGUGUUGCUCUUUUGAAAUGAGCUACCUAAAAAUGGCUUGAAAAUCAACAGCAUUGUCAUACAGUGAACCUACUGCCGUGUUCAUACCCGGUUUUUAAGGCUGCCAUUUAUAAAUAUGGGUGUUUAAUGCACUGACUGUCUGGGAUUUAGUUGCGGCAGCGUACAAAUCUGUGAAUGCAUUCUAACAGCUAUCCUGUAGCUAUAUAAAGUUGUGUUGCAGCUACUUAAGCUCUAAAACCGUCCUCGGAGGAGGUGGCAGAGGUGGCGUGUGUGUGGUGUCCCAGUUUUCAUUUUAACUUCGCUACCAGUGCAAAAUAGAAAGCUGCUGCCACAGGCAGUGCCGCGUUCGCUCGGGUGUCUGCUGCCACUUACCUACCACGUGUCAGGAUGGCAGAGGAGGUGGAUGGCUGCGUCUGCACUGGGAAUCAACAUGAUAAAUGGUGUCCUCAGCCUCUGUCUGCCGGGAGAGCGGAUGGCGUAUGCAUUUGUCACCUGCUGAAGUAGCACAAGGCGCUGGAGGUCCCGCAGAGAGAAAACAGGGAAAGAACCUCUGUAGAAUUGCUGUCAAACUUCAGCAGGAUCGGAGGGUUAGCGUUAUUAAUGUGGUUGUAGUUGUGUUUCAUUUUUGUGACCCCCUUGAGUCAAAUCAUGAUGGUUUUUUCCCAGAUUGCUCUUUCGUUUUCGGCUGUUUCUCCAUGGGAUUUUAACCCACAGCGGGCAGGUCGCAGCUCUGCAGAAAGGAAAGUCUCCCUGCUCCUUGCUCCUUACCGCUUGCGCCUUUUGCUUUAUACUGGUUCCUCACCUGGGAUCCUCACCCCCACUGCAAAGAAAAACCGUGGAUAGUUUUCUCUGAGCGUAAUCAUCUUGCCGACCUGUUCAGCGUGUGCCAGCACUGGCACAGGAGGAAAGGUGGGAUUGCGUGUCCAGCAGGAGGAGAGGAGAAGCUGUGGCCAUGGUUUACGAAGCAGAUGGCUCCUGGCUUUAAUGGUCAGGCAGCAUUUUCUCGUACUGUUAAAUGCAUGGUACUGUGCCGCGUUGCUUGGUAUCAUUAGCUUUGGCCACCAAGAAUAAUAACAAAACAAAAAAAAAGACAAUGCAGUUGUGGGUUUGAUAGGACUUUGCUCUGCAUUUGGAUUAAUAUUAAACUUCGUAGGUUAAGGCUCACCCAGCUGUAGUCGUGAGCGCUGAGCACUUCCGAAAUGUGGGGCCGGGAUGCGGAGUUGGGCCUUCAGGAGAGGCGUGCAGCUGGUGGCUGGGCUCGACUGCCUUCCGAGGGAGCUAAUCUGCCCUCCUGUCAGGUUGGAGUCCAGACAGCUAAUUUUUACCUCGCCUAAUCUUAGCCAUCUUAAAUCGUGCCUUGAGUAAUUGCUUGUGAAAAGCGCUGUGUGGGUGACUUGUUCAGCUGUGGUGCUGUUACAGAUGGAUUUUAGUUUUCCACAACUACAGUUAAGCACAAGCUACCCAUUUUUUCCCCACUUUUCUUUACUUCCCAGUGCUUUUUUUAGCUCUCUUGACAAACUGGAAGAGCAGCGGUCCCCUUAGUGCCUGGCAUGGCAUCUCCUGGGACAGGUCUGCAUUGAUUCUGUGAGGCAUCAGUCCUCUGGGAAGGUGUCAGCAGUGGAAAUGAGCAAAAAAUACAGAAUGUAAGCAACUGGGUGAGCAGAGUCAAGUGAAGAUAACAAGCCAUCUUAAUUUUUGGGCAGCUUUGCAUUUGAGUACUCGACUUCAGAAGCGGAACUUUUUGGUGUAAUUUCCUUGUCCUAAAUAACAGGGUGCUGUUUGGAGCCUCACCCACAGCAUCUGCCAGGUGAGCACCUUUACCUGCAGCUGCUAUUUAAGCUUAUGGAGCAGUUCAUAAGAGAAGGAGCAUUAUUAAAAGGAUUCAAGGUAUAGACUGCUGUAACUGGAUUAGAGAGACUUCUGACAACAGUAGAAGAAGGACGUGAUUCCAGAAUUUUGGGAAAAGCUCGGAAUUUGCACGUUGGAUGCAGUAACUUGUUCACUGCAAGCAGAGCUCUGAAGUAAAUGUCUGCUGAUUGUGAGCAACCAGCUCGAAGCUGGUGUUUUCAAACUCUUUGAAACGUGUGAAAGUGGAGGCUUAGCAUUAAUGUUUUUUACCAACAACUGCUCUUGAAUUCAAAACCGACAUUGCUUAAAAAAAAAUAAUGGUGGCCAUUGGUUUUGGGCCUCAUUUUUGUGGAACAGAAGAAAAAUCUCCACUGGGGAAAGCUCCGCUUCGUGGGCAGCUUCCUCAGACUCGCUGCUCUUUGUGGCAGCGUCUGUUUGGUUGAAAUGGAAGAACUCCAGUAAGUGCCUAUUUUUCAGUAACAAAAAGAAGAGAGCACAUGAACAGAAGUCGUUUUGGUAUUAGA